UAGGGAAUCUUCGGCAAUGGGGGGAACCCUGACCGAGCAACGCCGUGUGAGUGAAGAAGGUUUUCGGAUCGUAAAGCUCUGUUGUUAAGGAAGAACGAGUGUGAGAAUGGAAAGUUCAUGCUGUGACGGUACUUAACCAGAAAGGGACGGCUAACUACGUGCCAGCAGCCGCGGUAAUACGUAGGUCCCGAGCGUUGUCCGGAUUUAUUGGGCGUAAAGCGAGCGCAGGCGGUUAGAAAAGUCUGAAGUGAAAGGCAGUGGCUCAACCAUUGUAGGCUUUGGAAACUGUUUAACUUGAGUGCAGAAGGGGAGAGUGGAAUUCCAUGUGUAGCGGUGAAAUGCGUAGAUAUAUGGAGGAACACCGGUGGCGAAAGCGGCUCUCUGGUCUGUAACUGACGCUGAGGCUCGAAAGCGUGGGGAGUGAACAGG
rnacentral:rRNA from 1 species